rnacentral:rRNA from 1 species
GACGAACGCUGGCGGCGUGCCUAAUACAUGCAAGUCGAACGCAGUGGGGACGGGUGAGUAACACGUGGGUAACCUCCCAUCAGAGGGGAUAACACUUGGAAACAGGUGCUAAACCGAUACUGAUGGAUGGACCGGCGGUGCAUUAGCUAGUGGGUGAGGUAACGGCUCACCAAGGCGACGAUACAUAGCCGGCCUUAGAGGGUGGUCGGCCACACUGGGAACUGGACACGGCCCAGACUCCUACGGGAGGCAGCAGGAGGGAAUCUUCGGCAAUGGACGGAAGUCUGACCGAGCACCGCCGCGUGAUUGAAGAAGGUUUUCGGAUCGUAAAGCUCUGUUGUUAGAGAAGCGGUAACUAACCAGAAAGGGACGGCUAACUACGUGCCAGCCGCCGCGGUAAUUC